AAGUACCUCAGAGAAUAAAGAUCUUAAUUCCUUAGUCCAGUCUCCUAAAACCCUGAUGUGUACACUAAGGUAGUCAUCUCCUGGAGCUGAGGUAAUUGAGAAUGGAUGCCUAUUUAUAUGUAAACCAAUGUUCAGUUUUGUUUCCAUACAAAUGUCUUCAGAUAAUAUGAGAGUUUUUCUUAUUUACCAUUCUAAUGUAGAAACUGCAGAACAGUUGAGAUACAUGUAUUGUCCGCUCUUGUAUCUGAAGUUGGUUGGUCUUGACAAGUGAAGCGACAAGACAUUCCCUGGUAACACAGCAACCUGUCGAAGAUGUAAGGUAGUAAUAGAGAUGAAUAUACAAAGUCCUCCUUUUCUUGGAUAUCUCAAAUUCUCAAUAUAGAAAUGUUUAUAGAUUUGACCUUUAGUACUGAAACAGCCUCAACGCUUGACCUGAAUGCACGAAUCAGCCUUUCAAACAAGUAAAGAACCACCGGUACCAUCAAAUACAUCCAUGUCUAUUAAAUCACAUGAAAAACAAAAUCAGAGUUCAUAUUGCAACUGUUACAACUUUGUAUUGGGUCUAGUGGUUAAUAAGUUACUAACCGUUUUCUUGUACCAUGGCUUGAUGAUGAGGUAUACGUAGAAUCCGUGAACGACAAGAAGCGAGUAGACGAUAACAAACAAGUGGUGAGAGUACCAAAAGGCAUUGAAGCCUGUUAUUUUCUUCAGUGGUCCAGGAAGGUUGAGCUUAUUACGUCUGAACCAUGUAGUAGCCAAUGUAAAGGCUAUGGUCAUUAGUAUAACCAUUCCAAUCCCGGUAACUCCUUCUACCGAUUGCACAAAGUCCAAAUAUCUCUUUGUCUGUGGCCCAAAAUACAUUUCCAUUGGCUUAUACUCGUCUUCAUCUGCAGCUAUCAGCCGGGGGAAAUCACAGGCUAAGUGAGAUGUAGCAUGGAUUCCUACUCCAAUU
rnacentral:lncRNA from 1 species